rnacentral:rRNA from 1 species
GAUGAACGCUGGCGGCGUGCCUGAUACAUGCAAGUCGAGCGAACAGACGAGGAGCUUGCUCCUCUGACGUUAGCGGCGGACGGGUGAGUAACACGUGGAUAACCUACCUAUAAGACUGGGAUAACUUCGGGAAACCGGAGCUAAUACCGGAUAAUAUAUUGAACCGCAUGGUUCAAUAGUGAAAGACGGUUUUGCUGUCACUUAUAGAUGGAUCCGCGCCGCAUUAGCUAGUUGGUAAGGUAACGGCUUACCAAGGCGACGAUGCGUAGCCGACCUGAGAGGGUGAUCGGCCACACUGGAACUGAGACACGGUCCAGACUCCUACGGGAGGCAGCAGUAGGGAAUCUUCCGCAAUGGGCGAAAGCCUGACGGAGCAACGCCGCGUGAGUGAUGAAGGUCUUCGGAUCGUAAAACUCUGUUAUUAGGGAAGAACAAAUGUGUAAGUAACUAUGCACGUCUUGACGGUACCUAAGCAGAAAGCCACGGCUAACUACGU